CCAUACGAGAGAGUAGAGUGUACAUACGCAAAAUAAAACAUUUUUAAAGUAUCUAUACAUACACUAGUGCGCAAGUUACGAAUAAUGUAUGAAUAUUUGGCUAGUUUGCGACAUACAUAAUUACUAUGUGCGUUAAAUUUUAAAGCUUUAUCGAUGUAUAAGCCUAAAAACUUUACUUCAUCGGCCAACGGAACAGAUUUUGUACCAAGCUUAAUAUAGAUACUGGAUGACAUUGGGCCAUUUCUAUAUUGUACCACAAGGAAGUUGCGUCCGAAGCUUCCGCAGAAGUAGUGUGUAGGUCUUUACCUAUUGCUAUACAAGAUGUAUCAUCAGCAAAUUGACAGGCAGCGGCCCCAAUAUGGAUCCUUGAGGAACACCUUUUGAAAUGGUUAUAGGCUCGGACAACACAUUCAAGAUAGCGCCAUUACUGUUAUAAGUGAAUUGUUAUUUUUUUAGUAUUACUAUAAACAUUUGAUAAACGUAUAACUGGUAUAACCGGUUAAUAAAUUGAAAUAAUACUUAAAAUAAUGAUGUAAAAGACAUUUUUCCAAAAAAAAAAAAUGGUUUAUUCCCCGAAUUUGGAUUCUUCUGCGUCAAACAUCCAGCAUCUCGCAUCUAGAAUUCAGUUUCUGUGAAAAUGAGACAC